CUCUGGGGCAUCCUGCAGUUGCUCGGUGACUCUCAGGAGCAGUAGGACCCUUGGGAAAAAUCUACACUUUCCCUUUGGCUUUAAAAUAAUAAGAUUUCACUGUUGGGAUUGAACCUGAGUUUAUUUGGAUUUAUUUUGUCACAGUGUGGCUCCUGAAAGACCCAUCAGGAGAUCGAAUUGAUUUAACUGCUGUGCCACUGGGUGCAGCCAUAUGUUUUGGCCAUCGGGUGUCUGGAUGUGUGAGAACUGGGGGAGCAAGAAGAGUGACUGACGAGAAGAGACAAAAUCUAACACAGCGUUUGUUCAUGGUGACACAAGACAAGGAGACAUGUCGAGGCCCUCUUCCACCCAGACCACUCCUCAGUUCUACAGGGUCAGCGACAGAGAUCUCACCGAGAUCGAGCUGCAUUCUGUCGAUUCCAUCAACGACCUCCACCGAACACACCCCGAGCACAGCCACAAAGGAAUGAGGCCUCCUCGUCCGGCGUACACACCUUCGCCAAAUGGGAACAUUUAUACCUGCGACACAACAGUGGCCAAUCAAAGAGGCCACCCAGGCAGCAAAUCCUGGCAGAGCCGACUGCAGGACAUGCUGACGCCAAGUUCAUCCCGGGCCUAUGCCAUGGGCUGUGCUAUUAUCACUUUGCUUCUGCUCACAGUGUUACUAAUUUUUUACUUCUUAGUCCAGCAGGGCGGUGCAAUACGGAUGCUGACGGAGGCAGUGAGAGAAAAAGAGGCUGCGUCCACAGAGCUGUCACUGCUGAUCCAAGAGCUGCACGCACUGAGGCACAACCUGACAGCCAAGAGAGUGGCAGGAGGGACGUGAGGAAGAUACGCACAGAAAACAAAACACCGGCAGCGUUUUCAGAUUAUUACCGUAGAAAUAUGAGAUUGGAGUUUUCUGAAAACCAACUUCUAGGUUUACUAGGAUUAUUUGAGAAGGACUUUUAAAUAAAGCUUUUGUUUAAUGGUGGCAGUGAAGGGAAGUGGUUGAUCUCACAUUGCUUGAAAUAAUGUCAGACCAUUAUGUCAUUGCCACUGUGUCUAAAAAUGUACAAGCUGUUUUUAUACUGUGCUGUCAGUCGUUUUGGGUGACUCGCUAUGGGCAUCACAGGAAACACAUGAAGUACAAAUGCUGUGGACGGCCAGAAAAUUAAAUGGACUUCUGAUUUCAUCAACUUUGCCAAGUAUUUGAUAGAGUGACUGCGUACAUGUAUAGUUAGGUGUUUUCACCAAGUCGUUUAUUUACAGUUUUCUGUCGUUCAUGAUGAUGUUUGAUGGGAUUUUUCAGUCAGAUUUAAUGUACACAUGUCAAGUUUUAAAUUUGUCUUUUCUUCCAUGGUAACAAGACACUAUUUUACUAUUGGUUAAAAAAAAAUCUUGCAACAGUAAAACAAUAAAACAAAAUGAUCCUGUUGUUUGGUUGUCAUUACACUUUAGUCUUCCUAUGCAAUGUCCAUUAGAGUCAAAUUUAAGUACAGGUCCCGUUGAUGUAGCCAAACACAGUUUCUUUUCUUCCUUUCAUUUAUGACAAGAUAACUAAAUCUUAACUCGGCCACAGAAACAGCCAAAAAGUCUAAACAACUGAAAGACCACAGGUGACAAUUAAAGUGCAUGAUGGCAGAAUUAUCUCCAUGGAUACCAACUUCACAACCUCUGACCAAGUCAUGAACACUCGAGGAGGUAGGUGUAUCAUUGUUAAAGUUUACAAUCAAGAGAUGACUCCAUAAAUAGGAAUGCAAAGGAUUUACAGCAAGGUGUUAAUCACUGGUUA
rnacentral:lncRNA from 1 species